CCUACGGGGCGCACCAGUGGGGAAUAUUGCACAAUGGGCGCAAGCCUGAUGCAGCCAUGCCGCGUGUAUGAAGAAGGCCUUCGGGUUGUAAAGUACUUUCAGCGAGGAGGAAGGCAUUAAGGUUAAUAACCUUGGUGAUUGACGUUACCCGCAGAAGAAGCACCGGCUAACUCCGUGCCAGCAGCCGCGGUAAUACGGAGGGUGCAAGCGUUAAUCGGAAUUACUGGGCGUAAAGCGCACGCAGGCGGUUUGUUAAGUCAGAUGUGAAAUCCCCGGGCUCAACCUGGGAACUGCAUCUGAUACUGGCAAGCUUGAGUCUCGUAGAGGGGGGUAGAAUUCCAGGUGUAGCGGUGAAAUGCGUAGAGAUCUGGAGGAAUACCGGUGGCGAAGGCGGCCCCCUGGACGAAGACUGACGCUCAGGUGCGAAAGCGUGGGGAGCAAACAGGAUUAGAUACCCGAGUAGUC
rnacentral:rRNA from 1 species